GUGCUUAACACAUGCAAGUCGAACGGAAAGGCCCUGCUUUUGUGGGGUGCUCGAGUGGCGAACGGGUGAGUAACACGUGAGUAACCUGCCCUUGACUUUGGGAUAACUUCAGGAAACUGGGGCUAAUACCGGAUAGGAGCUCCUGCUGCAUGGUGGGGGUUGGAAAGUUUCGGCGGUUGGGGAUGGACUCGCGGCUUAUCAGCUUGUUGGUGGGGUAGUGGCUUACCAAGGCUUUGACGGGUAGCCGGCCUGAGAGGGUGACCGGCCACAUUGGGACUGAGAUACGGCCCAGACUCCUACGGGAGGCAGCAGUGGGGAAUAUUGCACAAUGGGCGGAAGCCUGAUGCAGCAACGCCGCGUGCGGGAUGACGGCCUUCGGGUUGUAAACCGCUUUCGCCUGUGACGAAGCGUGAGUGACGGUAAUGGGUAAAGAAGCACCGGCUAACUACGUGCCAGCAGCCGCGGUGAUACGUAGGGUGCGAGCGUUGUCCGGAUUUAUUGGGCGUAAAGGGCUCGUAGGUGGUUGAUCGCGUCGGAAGUGUAAUCUUGGGGCUUAACCCUGGGCGUGCUUUCGAUACGGGUUGACUUGAGGAAGGUAGGGGAGAAUGGAAUUCCUGGUGGAGCGGUGGAAUGCGCAGAUAUCAGGAGGAACACCAGUGGCGAAGGCGGUUCUCUGGGCCUUUCCUGACGCUGAGGAGCGAAAGCGUGGGGAGCGAACAGGCUUAGAUACCCUGGUAGUCCACGCUGUAAACGGUGGGUACUAGGUGCGGGGUCCAUUCCACGGGUUCCGUGCCGUAGCUAACGCUUUAAGUACCCCGCCUGGGGAGUACGGCCGCAAGGCUAAAACUCAAAGGAAUUGACGGGGCCCCGCACAAGCGGCGGAGCAUGCGGAUUAAUUCGAUGCAACGCGUAGAACCUUACCUGGGUUUGACAUGGAUCGGGAGUGCUCAGAGAUGGGUGUGCCUCUUUUGGGGUCGGUUCACAGGUGGUGCAUGGCUGUCGUCAGCUCGUGUCGUGAGAUGUUGGGUUAAGUCCCGCAACGAGCGCAACCCUUGUUCACUGUUGCCAGCACGUUAUGGUGGGGACUCAGUGGAGACCGCCGGGGUCAACUCGGAGGAAGGUGGGGAUGACGUCAAGUCAUCAUGCCCCUUAUGUCCAGGGCUUCACGCAUGCUACAAUGGCUGGUACAGAGAGUGGCGAGCCUGUGAGGGUGAGCGAAUCUCGGAAAGCCGGUCUCAGUUCGGAUUGGGGUCUGCAACUCGACCUCAUGAAGUCGGAGUCGCUAGUAAUCGCAGAUCAGCAACGCUGCGGUGAAUACGUUCCCGGGGCUUGUACACACCGCCCGUCAAGUCAUGAAAGUUGGUAACACCCGAAGCCGGUGGCCUAACCGUUGUGGGGGAGCCGUCGAAGGUGGGACUGGUGAUUAGGACUAAG
rnacentral:rRNA from 1 species